rnacentral:rRNA from 1 species
GACGAACGCUGGCGGCGUGCUUAACACAUGCAAGUCGAACGGAAAGGCCCUGCUUUUGUGGGGUGCUCGAGUGGCGAACGGGUGAGUAACACGUGAGUAACCUGCCCUUGACUUUGGGAUAACUUCAGGAAACUGGGGCUAAUACCGGAUAGGAGCUCCUGCUGCAUGGUGGGGGUUGGAAAGUUUCGGCGGUUGGGGAUGGACUCGCGGCUUAUCAGCUUGGUGGUGGGGUAGUGGCUUACCAAGGCUUUGACGGGUAGCCGGCCUGAGAGGGUGACCGGCCACAUUGGGACUGGGGUACGGCCCAGCCUCCUACGGGAGGCAGCAGUGGGGUAUAUUGCACAAUGGGCGGAAGCCUGAUGCAGCAACGCCGCGUGCGGGAUGACGGCCUUCGGGUUGUAAACCGCUUUCGCCUGUGACGAAGCGUGAGUGACGGUAAUGGGUAAAGAAGCACCGGCUAACUACGAG